rnacentral:rRNA from 1 species
AUGUCAUGGCAUAAUCUUUUAUGCCGUUUGGAUGCGAUUAGCCUGACAGAAAGUCAGAAUGUGUUUUGCUGGAACCUUACUACAUCAGGGUCUUUCACUGUAGACUCUAUGUAUUGUGCGCUCACGCAUUCUGAGAUGCCGGUGAGUAAUAAUAAGAAAAUUUGGAGGUUGAAGAUACCACUAAAAGUUAAAGUCUUCAUGUGGUAUCUUCGUAGGGGAGUUGUGCUAACCAAAAACAAUCUCGCACGGCGUAAUUGGCAAGGGAGUAAGAAGUAUUGUUUUUGUACUCAUGACGAGACAAUCAGACACCUCUUUUUCCAAUGCAACUUUGCACGUUCUAUGUGGCCAGUCAUCCAAAUAGCGUCAAGUUUAUAUCUGCCCACAAGUGUUGCCAAUAUUUUUGAUCAUUGA